rnacentral:rRNA from 1 species
AUUGAACGCUGGCGGCAGGCCUAACACAUGCAAGUCGAGCGAGCGGCGGACGGGUGAGUAAUGUCUGGGAAACUGCCUGAUGGAGGGGGAUAACUACUGGAAACGGUAGCUAAUACCGCAUAACAUCAGAUGUGCCCAGAUGGGAUUUGCUAGUAGGUGGGGUAACGGCUCUCCUAGGCGACGAUCCCUAGCUGGUCUGAGGGGAUGACCAGCCAAACUGGAACUGAGACACGGUCCAGCCUCCGACGGGAGGCAGAUGUGGGGAAUAUGGCACAAUGUGCGCAAGCCUGCGGCAGCCAUGCCGCGUGUAUGAAGAAGGCCUUCGGGUUUUAAAGUACUUGCAGCGGGGAGGCGUUACCCGCAGAAGAAGCACCGGCUAAGUCCGUGCCAGCAGCCGCGGUAAUAC